UACGUAGGUGGCAAGCGUUGUCCGGACUCAUUGGGCGUAAAGCGCGUGUAGGCGGCUCGAUAAGUCUGCUGUGAAAGUCCAGGGCUCAACCCUGGAAAGCCGGUGGAAACUGUCGAGCUAGAGUCCGGAAGAGGCGAGUGGAAUUCCUGGUGUAGCGGUGAAAUGCGCAGAUAUCAGGAAGAACACCUAUGGCGAAGGCAGCUCUCUGGGACGGUACUGACGCUGAGACGCGAAAGCGUGGGGAGCGAACAGG
rnacentral:rRNA from 1 species